ensembl:lncRNA
GGAGAUUACAGAUCAUCAUUUUGGAACUGCAAACUCUGUUCAUCUCAAAACAUCAAAACCAAUCCAACACAUCAGCAGAAAUCACGCAGUGAUUCCUCAGUGUGUUUACAGAGAGAACAUGAUGCUCAUGCUAAGAAAACCAAAGAGAAUUUAAGCCAUCCACUGAGAAACUGGCAGACUGAGUGAAAGCUGAAGGCCUGGUGGAGUUUGCUGAUGGCAGGGAUCAGCCAGCUGUGCUGACCCUGCUCCCCUUGCACAUUACUCCUCUGUGCCAACCCUGCUGCUCACAAACAGCCUUCCCCUAGACAAGAUUCCAGGGACAGGCACGAUUUAUCCUGCAAACACUGCUCCUGCCUGCUGGAGGUGGACUUGAUCCAGAACAGGGAGGAUAUUCUGCACAUUCUCCUCAGCGCUACCUAUGCAGACAUGGGGAUAUUAGAAACAGGAGCCAAGUGUCUGUGGGAAUAUCAGCUGGUACCAGGAACUGACUGCAGACAGAAAGAGCAAGAACAAGCAGGAAGGUGAGAGCAUAAAAGUCUACAACUGCACUGCAACAGGAGCCUGAGGUCACAACAGGGACUAUUAUUUUCUGGCAGGAGAGAAAUAGUAAAUCGAUGCUUCAUUCUGAUCUGGUGGCUGGCUGACAUCUAUGGCACCCUGACACAGGUGGCUCACACGACAGCCUCCUGCAGUAUAUCUUCCACGCUUAGGAACAUUACAAGAAGCAGAACAGUUUCCACAAGAUAUAUUGUGUUUGUGUUUUCAGAAGCCUCUAGAACCUCACAAUAAAACAAAACAAAACCAAACCCAAACCAACACCCCAGCACACAGGUAGCUGAGGUCUCAGAAGCAAGGAAUUUCCAGAACUGGCUUGAAUAGGACAACCUUAGUUUUGUUUCUUUCUAACUUUUUAUAUAUACUUGUCUUAUAUAUACUUUUUCAGGAGAAAACAUGCUUACCUGGGAAGCUUGUAUUUCAACUAUGUAGACAAACCCACUAGUUUACAGCCAAAAACACACCCCAGAAGGUACAUUCUGAUUUCCUUGGCGCUGCCCCUCAAUCCAGCUCUAGAAAUUGACCCCCAGCCAACUAAUUUACUCCAAUGCCAACCAAGGAGUAAUUGUGCUGUGCUCCGAAUACUUGUUCUGCUUUCCUUGCCAACACCACCAACAGCAGGGACAGAAUCUGCCCUAAAAACAGGCAGUGGUCCCUGGAUCCUUUAACCUGACCCUCAGACAGGAGAGUGAGGAUGCAUAAGCAGACUUGUGCUUGUGACAAGGUAAAUUGUGAGCAAGCCGAAGUGAAAUUGCCAGGUACAAGGCACCUGCUGGUUAUGACAAAUUUUGUUUGCUCCAUUAUUGCAGGCAAUACAAAACCAGGGCAUUACACAGCUUCUGCACUUACAUCCAGUGUAGAGAGGGAUUUCUUACAGGGACAUAUGCCUCCAGUAUCACUGCUUCAGUAUUUAUGCCUGGCUCCAUUCACUUUUCUGCUUACAGACCAUACCCAGUAAUGAAACACUGCCUCUUUUAUAAUUAAAAUGUGGAUUUUUUUCAGCUCAGUUACUGAUGGGGCUUUCAAUGGAAACCUUAGAAAUAAAGGUCCCCCAAAUUUUGUCUCAAAGACACCCAGUCUAACUACAGAUCUGGAUGUUACAACCCUGGGUUUUGUCAGAAGUUUUCGAUGUCACUUUAAAACCAUUUAUGUCUUGAUAUUCCAAAUGGACAUGCCUAUAUAUUGGAUUUUGUUCUAGAUAUAUUGAUGCAAGAUGUCAUCAAUUUUUUUUGCCAGAAAUCAGUGGCUGUAAACACUUCAAUUUUACUACUUAAACUUACAAAAGCAAAUUACUACUCAUCUGUAUUUAGGAAUCCAUUUAAACUGGUAAUACUUGCAAGUGCUAAUUUUGCAUAAACUCUGGUAAUGUUUAUUAAUGAAAGAGACAAUAUAGUACCAAUUAAGAAAUGUUCAGCAGCUAGUUAAUAAUAGACAAAAUAAUCCUAUUUGCCUCCUCAGCUGUCUUUGCAAAUGUUUAACAAUUAAGAUAUCCAAGCUCAAGUAGCCUAAAUAAAGAGGCUUUCUCCUUACAUGCCUUUCUGUCCUUGAGUGUUUAGCUCAUACAGAUCAACAACUGAGACUUGUGAAGGUAAAGCAUAACUACACAUUUCCUUUCACUUCUUCACUGUCACUGCAUGUUGUCAGGGGCUACAUAAUGACAAAAACAUCUCCAGGUCAGGGGGAGAUCAGGACACGCAGCCCCUUCUGCAUUGGAGGUGACAUUCCUCCUUGAUCAGCACCUACACCUUGACUCGUGCCUGCUGCACCACGGCAGUGUCACUGCUUCUGAUGGCACCUCUCUGUUUUCUCUUUUCCAGAGCUAUCCCUGCACAGUCCAGGCUGGGUUAGCACUCUCUCUUACACAAACUAUGAGGAAUUGCAGCUCAAGAGGAUGCAGGAACCCUGGUGACACAUGCCAGGGUCAGCCUGGUGCACGUUCAGGAAUAGCAGUUUGGACAGGCAGUGUUUUCCCUCACUCCCUAGCAGCUCUGCACUAACACAGCCUCCAGAUCAGUUCUCAAGUGCUGGGAAAUGAUGAAGUCACUGCUGGGGGCUGCAAGAGACUCGACAGCAUUGCUUCAGUUGCCUGUUUCUGCUCAGCAAGGAGCUGCCCAGAGAGAGACUUCAGAUAUUUAAGCAGAAUCCCUUCUCUCUGGGAGAUGUACCCUCUCUGUCCUUGCCUCCUCUCAUUCACAUUUCAGUGCAUUAUCCAGCUCUUACACAGCAAGACUUCAGAGAACCACCCUCCUUCAAGGCAUGUUUAGCUGAAAUUUCCUGUGAUUUACUCACACCAUGAGAGGAACAGUAUUUCAUUAGAGCUGUUUUCAAAAAUUAAACUAAUUACAAGAAAUACUAAUGAAUUAAUAUAAUAUGUUGCAUUUUGCACAUUAUUGAUAUCAUAUUAUAGCAUGAUAAUUAUAAUGAAUACUUUUCUCUCUGGUGAUCAGUGAGAGAACAUGAGGAAUGGCAAGAAGUUGUGCCAGGGAAAGUUUAGUUUGGAUAUCAGGAAAAGGUUUUUCAUUCUGAGGGUGGCUGGGCACUGGAACAGGCUCCCCAGGGCAGUGAUCACAGCACCAAGCCUGACAGAGAUUCAAAAAUAUUUCGGAUGAUACUCUUGGGCAAAAGAUGUGACUCUUGGAGCUGUCAUGUGAAGGGCCUGGACUUGAACUUUGAUGACCCUUCCAAGUCAGAAUGUUCUAUUGACUCUGUGAACUACCGAGAUCUGCUCUUCUGCCUUCCCUCAAAUCUGUAACACUGAGUUCUGCUUUUCUUUAGGGUCCUUCCCACAGGCUCACAUGACAUGGAGAUUAGCAGAUAAUGCAGAACUGUCUGAGAACAUUUCAGCAGGAAACAGUGUCAAAUUCACCAAGUUAACAUGAUAGAUUAUGAUAAAGUGAAUGCCUGGGGUGCUGUGUACCUGAACUAUGUGGUGCUGUGUAUCACAGCAAAUGAUUUCCUAAAAACCCCUAACUGGGCAAUUUCAACCGUAUAAAAAUGCAACUAAACAUGCCUUUGCUUGUUGUGAGACACUUUCUUCUCCUUCUCAGCAGCUAUAAAACAUAUGGUUUACAGUGUUAAGAGCCUCUGUAAAUCAUGCAGUGAUACCUGUGGGUUAUACUUAGUCAUAGACACAUCUUCAGCUGAUGUCAAUGGUUGUAACAGGCCUGACGUCAGAGCUGAGAUUAUUUACAGCAGCUGAGCAUCUGUGCUCAGCACUUACCAAGGCAGGCAUAUGAGUAGGGAUUUAGUUUUAGGGUCAGAGGGACAUUAAAGUAGAACUUGGUCUGGAGAAAUUAAAGCCAGGCAAUGACUCAAAUCUGGUCCUUGUCUGCUUGAGAGCAGAUCUACAGCUAUGAACAUGUUAAUCUUGACUCUCCUGCUCGCUGCCCCUGCUGCCCUUUACUUAUAUAGCAUAAACCAAAAAAAAAAAUCUCUGAAACAAAAUGAAUACAUACAAAAAUAACAUUUGAGAGGUGUUUAACAUUUGUUUCACCCUCUAAAAAGAGAGGGUGACAAACACCUUUCACAGGAUCAGCGAGGACAGUGCUGAAUCUUACAAGCUUCUCUCUACAGGCAGGAAAGGGAAUACUUGAAGAGGCAUCUCCACACUAUAAUUCACCCACCAGAGAAGAGAAACUUAAUCCAGUUACCUCCCAAGGAUGAACAGAAAUGUAUCCUGGACUGUAAUCACAGCAGGACUCCAGGCCUCCUCUCAGGGUAAUUUUAGUAGAAGCCUCCUUUUAGUAAGAGGGUCACAGCAGCUAAGUAAGAGUGCUAGAGCCUAGGGGGAAGCCUCCUUCACAGCUGGGAGGGUUUCCCAAGUCACUUCUUAGGCCAAGUUCCAGGCAGCCCUCACAAUAUUCUAAUUAUGUGUUGCUGCACUGCAUAUAAACCUCACGACCAAGGUUUUUGCAACUUCCACAUUAUAGUUUUAUAACAGCAGAACAUAAUAAAGAGUCAGGAAAAAAAAAAUAAAGUAAAGCACACCAUAACCAUCUAAUACAAAAAUAACCUCAACCUUCUCUACCUGCAGGAAGCUGUUGAUCUCACAGGGUUAAAAAUUCUUUUUCAGUCAAUCUCAUUAUACAUCCCACACACUAGAACUUAUCUGACAUGAAAGGGAAUAGAUAGAUAUAAAUAUAGUACAUGAAGUGCAGCAUUAACUUUAGUACAGACAAAUUACAUUAAAGACUGUCAACAUUUAGUCUGGCACAACUGCUGUACUGCUACAACAUUUGGGGGAAGAAAAGAGGGACUCACGAUGGUCUCAUUUGUAUCCUUCCAAUGGGUCAUUCAAAAUUGAAUCCUGUGUUAACUCACCCUGGGCUUUGGGGAGCCUCAGUGGAAAGAUGUUAUUUGUGAAGGUGCUCGUAAGAGCAGCUUUGUGGGGUCUGCACAGGGAAGGCGCAGCACUUUGAGGAGCUCCCUGUGGGAGUGCAAUAGCUCAUCUGGGAGAAGUCUCUACUGCAGCACCCACCAGGGAUGGCAGCUCCACCUGAUGCAGCCCUGCUUUCCGAAGGUGUUCACAAUGCAGGGGCUUCUUCGUUUUGUUUCUGUUUUAACAAUCCUGAGAGCUUAACAAUUUCUUUCAUUUAAAGGAAGAAAAUCAAAAAGAGAGACAGAAAGCCCAAUUUCCUAUUUAUUUUUAGUGCCACUUAAUGUGCAUCCUGCUAAGCCAACAAUCAUCCCAGCGUGAGCUGACUAGAAGCAGCUGCAGGUAGCCUCCUGGCUAGCUGGCAGGGAUCAGAGUGGAUAAAAGAGAAAUAAGACUAGGUUUGCCAUGCAGAGUUAACCCAAGCAGGGGAUUUAACUUGUGCUCUCCACCCACAUUACAAAGGGCUUCCUUUUCUUUAUGGCAGGGCCCUUUAGCUCAAGAUAUAAAACCCCAAUGGUCACCUAAAAGAUUUCACAAGACCAAAUAACUGCUGUGAAACCACCUCUGGUGCCAGGGCCUGCCUUCUCUUCCUCAUCUCUGCUUGCUGCAAACCCAUUUCAGAAUCACCUGGGGGAAGCAGCAGGAGCAGCUUCUUGCAGACAGGAACAGAAGUGGAAUUUUGCAGUGAAGGCCCUGUACCCCACGGAGAUGCUUCCAGGUUUGACUCACAUCUGCUGGCUGGCUUAGCAGCAGCUGCUCACUGACAUGCAGGGCAAAGGAUUUAGUAGCCAAUGCUCAAACACUGUCAUAAAACUGUUCUUUUAUAGACACCUGCCCAUUGGAAGAAAAGUGUGCUCUAUUAUCUGCACAGACAUGCAUCGGCUUUGAAACUCCAAGGUCAGAUCUCUGUGUGAAGAUAGGGAUAUUCAUAUAUGGAAAAGCAACAGAGGAAAAAAAUUACUUAAAGGGAACAUUUAUUUCAACAGCAGCAUUUUCAAACAUUUUUUCAGCAAAAUACAUAUUGUAUUAUUAUGAGCUUUGUCCACUGGGGGAGGGCCUGCUAGGAAAAAAUUGUACUGACAAGCCUUUGUGAUACAAAUUCAAGUCAGGUACCUGCCAGCCAAAAUAAUGCAUAUGCAAAUGCCUUACUACCUAAAUCAAACUGGAGAGCUGUGUGUUGGGUAUAGGACUUUGGAGAAAUAAAAACUUAAUCACUUUUUAA